GUUAAGCGACUAAGCGUACACGGUGGAUGCCCUGGCAGUCAGAGGCGAUGAAGGACGUGCUAAUCUGCGAUAAGCGUCGGUAAGGUGAUAUGAACCGUUAUAACCGGCGAUUUCCGAAUGGGGAAACCCAGUGUGUUUCGACACACUAUCAUUAACUGAAUCCAUAGGUUAAUGAGGCGAACCGGGGGAACUGAAACAUCUAAGUACCCCGAGGAAAAGAAAUCAACCGAGAUUCCCCCAGUAGCGGCGAGCGAACGGGGAGCAGCCCAGAGCCUGAAUCAGUGUGUGUGUUAGUGGAAGCGUCUGGAAAGGCGCGCGAUACAGGGUGACAGCCCCGUACACAAAAAUGCACAUGCUGUGAGCUCGAUGAGUAGGGCGGGACACGUGGUAUCCUGUCUGAAUAUGGGGGGACCAUCCUCCAAGGCUAAAUACUCCUGACUGACCGAUAGUGAACCAGUACCGUGAGGGAAAGGCGAAAAGAACCCCGGCGAGGGGAGUGAAAAAGAACCUGAAACCGUGUACGUACAAGCAGUGGGAGCACGCUUAGGCGUGUGACUGCGUACCUUUUGUAUAAUGGGUCAGCGACUUAUAUUCUGUAGCAAGGUUAACCGAAUAGGGGAGCCGAAGGGAAACCGAGUCUUAACUGGGCGUUAAGUUGCAGGGUAUAGACCCGAAACCCGGUGAUCUAGCCAUGGGCAGGUUGAAGGUUGGGUAACACUAACUGGAGGACCGAACCGACUAAUGUUGAAAAAUUAGCGGAUGACUUGUGGCUGGGGGUGAAAGGCCAAUCAAACCGGGAGAUAGCUGGUUCUCCCCGAAAGCUAUUUAGGUAGCGCCUCGUGAAUUCAUCUCCGGGGGUAGAGCACUGUUUCGGCAAGGGGGUCAUCCCGACUUACCAACCCGAUGCAAACUGCGAAUACCGGAGAAUGUUAUCACGGGAGACACACGGCGGGUGCUAACGUCCGUCGUGAAGAGGGAAACAACCCAGACCGCCAGCUAAGGUCCCAAAGUCAUGGUUAAGUGGGAAACGAUGUGGGAAGGCCCAGACAGCCAGGAUGUUGGCUUAGAAGCAGCCAUCAUUUAAAGAAAGCGUAAUAGCUCACUGGUCGAGUCGGCCUGCGCGGAAGAUGUAACGGGGCUAAACCAUGCACCGAAGCUGCGGCAGCGACGCUGAUGCGUUGUUGGGUAGGGGAGCGUUCUGUAAGCCUGCGAAGGUGUGCUGUGAGGCAUGCUGGAGGUAUCAGAAGUGCGAAUGCUGACAUAAGUAACGAUAAAGCGGGUGAAAAGCCCGCUCGCCGGAAGACCAAGGGUUCCUGUCCAACGUUAAUCGGGGCAGGGUGAGUCGACCCCUAAGGCGAGGCCGAAAGGCGUAGUCGAUGGGAAACAGGUUAAUAUUCCUGUACUUGGUGUUACUGCGAAGGGGGGACGGAGAAGGCUAUGUUGGCCGGGCGACGGUUGUCCCGGUUUAAGCGUGUAGGCUGGUUUUCCAGGCAAAUCCGGAAAAUCAAGGCUGAGGCGUGAUGACGAGGCACUACGGUGCUGAAGCAACAAAUGCCCUGCUUCCAGGAAAAGCCUCUAAGCAUCAGGUAACAUCAAAUCGUACCCCAAACCGACACAGGUGGUCAGGUAGAGAAUACCAAGGCGCUUGAGAGAACUCGGGUGAAGGAACUAGGCAAAAUGGUGCCGUAACUUCGGGAGAAGGCACGCUGAUAUGUAGGUGAAGUCCCUCGCGGAUGGAGCUGAAAUCAGUCGAAGAUACCAGCUGGCUGCAACUGUUUAUUAAAAACACAGCACUGUGCAAACACGAAAGUGGACGUAUACGGUGUGACGCCUGCCCGGUGCCGGAAGGUUAAUUGAUGGGGUUAGCCGCAA
rnacentral:rRNA from 1 species